AGCAGCCGCGGUAAUUCCAGCUCCAAUAGCGUAUAUUAAAGUUGUUGCAGUUAAAAAGCUCGUAGUUGAAUUUCGGGAUCAAUAUAUCGGUCGUGCCAUUGGUACGUACUGGUAUCAUUGGUUUCUCCUUUCUGACGAACCAUGAUGUCAUUAAUUUGGUGUUAUGGGAAGUUAGGACUGUUACUUUGAAAAAUUAGAGUGUUUAAAGCAGGCUUUAGCUUGAAUACAUUAGCAUGGAAUAAUGAAAUAGGACGUUCGAACCUAUUUUGUGGUUUCUAGGAUCAACGUAAUGAUUAAUAGGGAUAGUUGGGGGCAUUAGUAUUCAAUUGUCAGAGGUGAAAUUCUUGGAUUUAUUG
rnacentral:rRNA from 1 species